GGAGAAUGUUAUCACGGGAGACACACGGCGGGUGCUAACGUCCGUCGUGAAGAGGGAAACAACCCAGACCGCCAGCUAAGGUCCCAAAGUCAUGGUUAAGUGGGAAACGAUGUGGGAAGGCCCAGACAGCCAGGAUGUUGGCUUAGAAGCAGCCAUCAUUUAAAGAAAGCGUAAUAGCUCACUGGUCGAGUCGGCCUGCGCGGAAGAUGUAACGGGGCUAAACCAUG
rnacentral:rRNA from 1 species